rnacentral:rRNA from 1 species
UACGUAGGGGGCUAGCGUUGUCCGGAAUCAUUGGGCGUAAAGCGCGCGUAGGCGGCCCGGUAAGUCCGCUGUGAAAGUCCAGGGCUCAACCCUGGAAAGCCGGUGGAUACUGCCGGGCUAGAGUCCGGAAGAGGCGAGUGGAAUUCCUGGUGUAGCGGUGGAAUGCGCAGAUAUCAGGAGGAACACCGAUGGCGAAAGCGGCGUGCUGGACACCUUCUGACGCUGAGGCGCGAAAGCCAGGGGAGCGAACGGG